rnacentral:rRNA from 1 species
GUAGGUGGCAAGCGUUGUCCGGAAUUAUUGGGCGUAAAGCGCGCGCAGGCGGUUCUUUAAGUCUGAUGUGAAAGCCCACGGCUCAACCGUGGAGGGUCAUUGGAAACUGGAGAACUUGAGUACAGAAGAGGAAAGCGGAAUUCCACGUGUAGCGGUGAAAUGCGUAGAGAUGUGGAGGAACACCAGUGGCGAAGGCGGCUUUCUGGUCUGUAACUGACGCUGAGGCGCGAAAGCGUGGGGAGCAGACAGGAUUAGAUACCCUGGUAGUCCACGCCGUAAACGAUGAGUGCUAAGUGUUAGGGGGGUUUUCCGCCCCCCUUAGUGCUGCAGCUAACGCAUUAAGCACUCCGCCCUGGGAGUACGGCCGCAAGGCUG